UACAGAGGUCUCAAGCGUUGUUCGGAUUCAUUGGGCGUAAAGGGUGCGUAGGCGGCGCGGUAAGUCGGGUGUGAAAUCUCGGAGCUUAACUCCGAAACUGCAUUCGAUACUGCCGUGCUUGAGGACUGGAGAGGAGACUGGAAUUUACGGUGUAGCGGUGAAAUGCGUAGAUAUCGUAAGGAAGACCAGUGGCGAAGGCGGGACUCUGGACAGUUCCUGACGCUGAGGCGCGAAGGUCAGGGGAGCAAACGGG
rnacentral:rRNA from 1 species